GGAGAAAUCUCUCACAACUUUUAUAGUGUGCAAACAUACAUUAACAAAAUGGGGAAGUAUGAUGGAGUAAUGUCGUAUGGAGGUAGAAGGCCUAUGCGUCAUGAACUUCUUUUUCCAUAGAAGAAGCAAUGACGGUAUCCGGGGAACAAGCAUUGGCUAACUUUGUGCCAGCAGUCGCGAUAAGACAGAAGAUGCAAGCGUUAUCC